UGUCCAGAGAUGGGAAUCGAACUCACAGUGUUCCGCUUACCGGGCAGAUGACAUGUCCACUAGGUUACCCUAGAC
rnacentral:tRNA from 1 species